GAGUUUGAUCCUGGCUCAGGAUGAACGCUAGCUACAGGCUUAACACAUGCAAGUCGAGGGGCAUCAGGAAGAAAGCUUGCUUUCUUUGCUGGCGACCGGCGCACGGGUGAGUAACACGUAUCCAACCUGCCCUUUACUCGGGGAUAGCCUUUCGAAAGAAAGAUUAAUACCCGAUAGCAUAAUGAUUCCGCAUGGUUUCAUUAUUAAAGGAUUCCGGUAAAGGAUGGGGAUGCGUUCCAUUAGGUUGUUGGUGAGGUAACGGCUCACCAAGCCUUCGAUGGAUAGGGGUUCUGAGAGGAAGGUCCCCCACAUUGGAACUGAGACACGGUCCAAACUCCUACGGGAGGCAGCAGUGAGGAAUAUUGGUCAAUGGGCGGUAGCCUGAACCAGCCAAGUAGCGUGAAGGAUGAAGGCUCUAUGGGUCGUAAACUUCUUUUAUAUAAGAAUAAAGUGCAGUAUGUAUACUGUUUUGUAUGUAUUAUAUGAAUAAGGAUCGGCUAACUCCGUGCCAGCAGCCGCGGUAAUACGGAGGAUCCGAGCGUUAUCCGGAUUUAUUGGGUUUAAAGGGAGCGUAGGUGGACUGGUAAGUCAGUUGUGAAAGUUUGCGGCUCAACCGUAAAAUUGCAGUUGAUACUGUCAGUCUUGAGUACAGUAGAGGUGGGCGGAAUUCGUGGUGUAGCGGUGAAAUGCUUAGAUAUCACGAAGAACUCCGAUUGCGAAGGCAGCUCACUGGACUGCAACUGACACUGAUGCUCGAAAGUGUGGGUAUCAAACAGGAUUAGAUACCCUGGUAGUCCACACAGUAAACGAUGAAUACUCGCUGUUUGCGAUAUACAGUAAGCGGCCAAGCGAAAGCAUUAAGUAUUCCACCUGGGGAGUACGCCGGCAACGGUGAAACUCAAAGGAAUUGACGGGGGCCCGCACAAGCGGAGGAACAUGUGGUUUAAUUCGAUGAUACGCGAGGAACCUUACCCGGGCUUAAAUUGCAGUGGAAUGAUGUGGAAACAUGUCAGUGAGCAAUCACCGCUGUGAAGGUGCUGCAUGGUUGUCGUCAGCUCGUGCCGUGAGGUGUCGGCUUAAGUGCCAUAACGAGCGCAACCCUUAUCUUCAGUUACUAACAGGUCAUGCUGAGGACUCUGGAGAGACUGCCGUCGUAAGAUGUGAGGAAGGUGGGGAUGACGUCAAAUCAGCACGGCCCUUACGUCCGGGGCUACACACGUGUUACAAUGGGGGGUACAGAAGGCAGCUAGCGGGUGACCGUAUGCUAAUCCCAAAAGCCUCUCUCAGUUCGGAUCGAAGUCUGCAACCCGACUUCGUGAAGCUGGAUUCGCUAGUAAUCGCGCAUCAGCCACGGCGCGGUGAAUACGUUCCCGGGCCUUGUACACACCGCCCGUCAAGCCAUGGGAGCCGGGGGUACCUGAAGUACGUAACCGCAAGGAUCGUCCUAGGGUAAAACUGGUGACUGGGGCUAAGUCGUAACAAGGUAGCCGUACCGGAAGGUGCGGCUGGAACACC
rnacentral:rRNA from 1 species